CACGCAUGGGUUUACAUGUCGGGGAAAUAACCUCACACAUACACACACAGACCAGCAGCACCCCAUCAGGAGGAGCUACACAACAAUCUUUGGCGUCGUUCUCGGUGCAGCCGGUCAGCCAGACACAAGUGGAGGAGGACAGGGAGCCGGUGGGUGGAGGAGAGACUCAGGAAGAACGGUUUCGUUAACGGAGGAGGCGAGGGAGCAACACCCCCUCCCCCCUUCAUACCGCAUCACGUCAGUCAAUCAAGCCGAAGAGUCUGUUGGUGGUUGUGGCCAGGAGGCGAGGAUGUGACGUCUGUCUGUCUCCUGUGCUGUUAUUGUUCAGUGGGAUUUCCUCUUCAUGUCUCCACCCUGGCUUUGGUUCGCAUCUGCGUGGAGAGGGCACAUUUUUAAACAGCUGGACGAUGAAACAGAUCCAGCAACCUGUGGCACCAGUUCACUGAAGGGCACCUAAAUGCACUGUUUCUCAUAUUCUGUCAUAUGUGCACUGUUAAACCGGGGGCAGUGCGUCUACAAGCAAUCCCAAAAGGUUCUAAACACUUAAUUUCAGAUAGUUUUUCUUGGAGUCGCCCCCUGCUGGUUAUUAAAAAGAAUGUUGGUUUCAGGCACCUUUGUUUCACUUUAGGAUCGAGAAAGAUGUGAACAGACAAUCGGGUGGAAAACACAAAGUGAAACAAAGAUUUUUGAUUUAUUUAAACAAAAUCCAAUGUGGAAAUACAGAGAUUGGCAGUAACAGAUGAUAAUAUUAGUCCUUUUCCUUACAGAAAGAUUAUAUAUUACUAAAAUCUCAGGAAGGACCAUCCUUAAGGUCAAUCUGAGGUCAUUAAAAUACUCGCUAGAAAGCCUGAGUUGAACUGGUGCAACAGGCUGCAGCAGAACGACGAAAAACAUUGUUUUAUGAAACAUGAAGGGCCGAGUGUGUGGGUGGUUCUUUGACUGAAAAUGUAAAAUAUUAAGCAUCUUUAAUUCUGGCAAACUGAGGUACACAGACGUCUGGCAAAUUCUGAAAUUUUGGGUCAAUAUGAUGUUUAAAAUGAAAAUCUGGCUGAAAGG